rnacentral:misc_RNA from 1 species
GAUGAAGAACGCAGCGAAAUGCGAUAAGUAGUGUGAAUUGCAGAAUUCAGUGAAUCAUCGAAUCUUUGAACGCACAUUGCGCCUCCUGGUAUUCCGGGAGGCAUGCCUGUUCGAGCGUAAUUAAAAUCACUCAAGCUUAGGUUUACCUAUUGCUUGGUCUUGGAGAUGGAAGCCAAUUUAUUGGAAUCCUCUUCGAAAUUCAAUGGCGAAGACCCUUGCUCUCCCAAGUGUAGUAAUAACUUAUGUCACUGAAGGAAGCGAGAAAUCUUCUGCCGUAACCCCCAUAUUUUCUAUGAUUGACCUCGGAUCAGGUAGGGAUACCCGCUGAACUUAAGCAUAUCAAUAAGCGGAGGA